AUUGAACGCUGGCGGCAGGCCUAACACAUGCAAGUCGAACGAGUGGCGGACGGGUGAGUAAUGUCUGGGAAACUGCCCGAUGGAGGGGGAUAACUACUGGAAACGGUAGCUAAUACCGCAUACCAUCGGAUCUGCCCAGAUGGGAUUAGCUAGUAGGUGGGGUAACGGCGCACCUAGGCGAAGAUCCCUAGCUGGUCUGAGAGGAUGAGCAGCAACACUGGAACUGAGACACGGUCCAGAAUCCUACGGGAGGAAGCAGUGGGGAAUAUUACACAAUGGGCGCAAGACUGAUGGAGCCAUGCCGCGUGUAUGAAGAAGGCCUUCGGGUUGUAAAGUACUUUCAUCGAGGAGGCGUUACUCGCAGAAGAAGCACCGGCUAACUCCGUGCCAGCCGCCGCGGUAAUUC
rnacentral:rRNA from 1 species